rnacentral:lncRNA from 10 species
GCUGGAGUGCAGGGGUGCCAUCUCAGCUCACUGCAACCUUCAACCUUCACCUCCUGGGCUCAAGCAAUCCUCCCACCUCAGUCUCCCAAGUAGCUGGGACUACAGGCACAUGCCACCACACCAAGCUAAUUUUUUUAUUUUUAGUGGAGACAAGGUUUCACCAUUUUGGCCAGGCUGGUCUCGAACUCCAACCUCAGACUCCUGGAGAGCUUUCUCAGCAGCACCCCAUACCUUCCCUGCCAUGGUGCCUGCUAGCAGCCAGGUUGGAAGCUUCAGCCACACCAACAAGGAGAUUGCCAACACCAUGCCAAAGGAUCGACAGGGGUGGCAGCAGCACCAGCAGGAACUGCUGAAGGCCUUUGUGUGGGCCAGGCAGGGGACCGGGAGGUAGAAAACCCAGGCCCUACCCUUAGAUCACGUAGGUGAGGCCGCAAGCCACAGCCAGGCAAGGCUGCGCAAGCUGGGGCCCAGGGAUCCAUGGAGGCAUGGUACCUGGCACAGACCCAAAAAUAUUUACUGAAUGAAAACACAAAAGAAAAGGAACGGAGUCAUCCGAGGCUCCUUCCACCCUCACUUGCUCACUCAUUCAUUCAUUCACUUAUUCAUUCAGUAAACAUUUCUCGGGCUCUUACUGUGUGUCGGCAAAACCCUAAACAAUCCUGACUCGAGAUAAAGGGGUGUGAGCCAACAGAGCCCUCUCACAUGGCCAAUGUUUAAUUCCACCCAAUUCAUUCUGGGGCCUUCCAAUGCUGGGUAGAUUUAUAGCCUUUUCAGGUGAUGGAUGACGAACAUGUGCUCAAUAGAAAAGGAUGGCUAUGGGUGGCCCCUACAGAUCUGGCCACUUCUUCCUAUUCUUCCCCAGACAAGUCUACCUCUGUCCAGGGCAGCCAAUCAGCCUCAAAUGGGACUUGGCUAAAUUUAAAAAUAAACUGUUGCUGGGCACAAGGACUCAUGCCUAUAAUCCCAACACUUUGGGAAGCUGAGGAUGGAGAAUCACUUGAGCCCAGGAGUUCGAGACCAGCCUGAGUAACAUAGCAAGACUCCAUCUCUAGAAAAAAAUGAAAAAUGAGCCAGACAUGGUGAUGCGUGCCUGUGGUCCUAGCUACUCAGAAGGCUG